rnacentral:rRNA from 1 species
UACGAAGGGGGCUAGCGUUGUUCGGAUUUACUGGGCGUAAAGCGCGCGCAGGCGGCCUGACAAGUCAGGGGUGAAAGCCCAGAGCUCAACUCUGGAAUUGCCUUUGAAACUGUCGGGCUUGAGUACGGGAGAGGUGAGUGGAAUUCCCAGUGUAGAGGUGAAAUUCGUAGAUAUUGGGAAGAACACCAGUGGCGAAGGCGGCUCACUGGCCCGUUUCUGACGCUCAGGCGCGAUAGCGUGGGGAUCAAACAGG